rnacentral:rRNA from 1 species
UGAGGAAUAUUGGUCAAUGGCCGAGAGGCUGAACCAGCCAAGUAGCGUGAAGGAUGACGGCCCUACGGGUUGUAAACUUCUUUUAUAAGGGAAUAAAGUGCAUCACGCGUGAUGUUUUGUAUGUACCUUAUGAAUAAGCAUCGGCUAACUCCGUGCCAGCAGCCGCGGUAAUACGGAGGAUGCGAGCGUUAUCCGGAUUUAUUGGGUUUAAAGGGAGCGCAGGCGGACGCUUAAGUCAGUUGUGAAAUCCCGCGGCUCAACCGUGGAAUUGCAGUUGAUACUGGGUGUCUUGAGUGCGGCAGAGGCAUGCGGAAUUCGUGGUGUAGCGGUGAAAUGCUUAGAUAUCACGAAGAACUCCGAUUGCGAAGGCAGCAUGCUGGGCCGUUACUGACGCUGAGGCUCGAAAGUGCGGGUAUCAAACAGG